rnacentral:lncRNA from 1 species
AUCUCAGUUUAUGAAAAUUUGAUCUACAAGUAUUAUUCAGAAAAGCAUUAUACUCUUAAAUUGGAAUAAGUAAGUUUCAGCAAAUAAGAUGCAGUACAGAGAACUCAUAUUCAACAUCUUCCAAAGUAAUGAAUUCAAUUAGGAUGAUAACUGAAAUUGCUUGGCGGUUGAAUAUUGGAUUGCCAGAUGCUGGUCUAUUGAAUACUAGAUUAUUAGAAUUUUACUAUAAUUUUUUUUUAUAUUUGUCAUGAUAAAAUUAUAUAUCUUUACUUCAGGAAGUGAAAUAAUAAACAAGCCUUUUCCAAUAAUGAGAAGUCAGUCUGACUUUUCUCGCCCAAGAAGUUUAGAAUGUGAAAAUGUCACCACAAAAACUAAAGUUGAGAAAGGUAACAAAAAUUCUAUACUUAUCGUUAGUGAAAUAUUAGCAAAAAGUAUCAACUGUUUCAAAC